UGGGGAAUUUUGGACAAUGGGCGAAAGCCUGAUCCAGCAACGCCGCGUGUGUGAAGAAGGCCUUCGGGUUGUAAGGCACUUUUGUCCGGAAAGAAAUCCUUGGCUCUAAUACAGUCGGGGGAUGACGGUACCGGAAGAAUAAGCACCGGCUAACUACGUGCCAGCAGCCGCGGUAAUACGUAGGGUGCAAGCGUUAAUCGGAAUUACUGGGCGUAAAGCGUGCGCAGGCGGUUUGCUAAGACCAAUGUGAAAUCCCCGGGCUCAACCUGGGAACUGCAUUGGUGACUGGCAGGCUAGAGUAUGGCAGAGGGGGGUAGAAUUCCACGUGUAGCAGUGAAAUGCGUAGAGAUGUGGAGGAAUACCGAUGGCGAAGGCAGCCCCCUGGGCCAAUACUGACGCUCAUGCACGAAAGCGUGGGGAGCAAACAGGAUUAGAUACCCUGGUAGUCCACGCCCUAAACGAUGUCAACUAGUUGUUGGGGAUUCAUUUCCUUAGUAACGUAGCUAACGCGUGAAGUUGACCGCCUGGGGAGUACGGUCGCAAGAUUAAAACUUAAAGGAAUUGACGGGGUCGUAGCUGUUUCCU
rnacentral:rRNA from 1 species